rnacentral:lncRNA from 1 species
UUCUAUCAAGCGUCUUUUCGAAGUUAUGACAUCAAAUAUUGCAUAUAUUUAAUGCUAGAAACACGUGGUUGUGUCCGAUUGGAAUUGGUUCCUUCAACGAUUAGCAAGGUAACGAUGGCUUCUCCUUAUAAACGAGUGAUUCACGGUUUUUUCCUAUCCUUGUCUUCUAAAUCUUUUAUUUCUUCUUUCCAAAUAUUAUGCCUACUCUGAUUUAAGAAGCUUUCUAUUCUUUCCUUCUACAAUUCUUAACUUCCUACAAUGGAUUCCUAGAGUUGUAACCCCUCAGAGGAGAGACCCUUAUCUAUCUCUACUUCUGGCGCAAAGAGGAUUCCCAGUCGCUGCCAAUGUUGAGACAACAGUGGUUGAGGUUGUAUCUCCUCUGUCAAAGAAGAGAAAGACCAAGAAGGUCGACUUAGAGACCUUGCCGAAAUGAAUAGUCUUGGAUAUUGUGAUAAAGGAAUUGAAAAGUAACAGUGAAUGCAAUGUUAGGGAAAAGUUUGAGAAGCAGAUAGGGGACUGAAAUGCCCCUAUGUUUAUCUAUCCAUCUCUAAUUACUUGGGACAUGUUUCAAAAAAUUUAGAAGGAUUACCAAUGUGAAUAUAUAGAUGACAUCAUCAUCAGGCUCCCUCGGGAGGGUGAGAGGCCUACCAGUCAUCGUCUCAAACAUUUUUUCAUCAGCACAUGCUUCUUUAUUAUGCGGUUCAAGCUUUCGGUGGACGAGAUUAUUGCCAAGCCUUGUGUUUGGUACAAUUUGUUCCUAGCCAAGGCAUGCCCUCAUAUUUGGAGUAUGGUCAUGCGCCUCCAUCACUUAGCAUCAAAGGUCGGAGUCUCCCUCACCUACCGACACAUUCUUCACCGUUGAUCCCCUAAAGUUUGCUAUAGGGAAUAAUUUACAUGACCAAUGAGGUUCAUGCGCCUUGAUAUAUGACUGUGGAGGCGACUUUUAUCAAAGAUGGUUCGAUAGGUAUCUAGUGGUUCAAACCUAGUUCCUCUGGCCAAGUGAAAAGCUUUGAUUCCUAGAGAAAUGGAACCUCGUUCGUAAGUGUUUCUCCUCUCCUUUUUGCUCUUUUAAUACCUUUACAACAACAACAACAACAACCCAGUAUAAUCCCACUUAGUGGGGUCUGGGGAGGGUAGUGUAUACGCAGACCUUACCCUUACCCUGAGGUAGAGAGGCUGUUUCCAAAUAGACCCCCGACAUCCUUCCCUCCAAGAACUUCCCACCUUGCUCUUGGGGAGACUCGACUCACAACCUCUUUUAAUACCUUUGUGGGUUCUAUUUAAUAAUUGGCGCCCUGUAUUUGUUGCGAUGGAUCUCUAGGGGGUCCUAGACAUCGAAGACAUGCUAUCCAAGUUUUUUAGAGUCUUCUCCAAUGUUUCCAGAACUUGGAAGGUCAUUGCUGUCGAGUUUGAAGGUAUCCUAGCAAAUUACCAUGGUAAUACCUUGCCAAUUUUGUUAUUUUUCUUUUUUAUGCUUCUUCUUUGUUUUUGUUUACCAUGAACGUGUUUUGCAAGUGUUGUCCUUGAUAAAAGGUUUCUUUCUCGGUCUCAACUUCUGGUUGUUCUUCUAACGUCUGUCACGAUCCAAAACCCCAACCAAUGAAGGAGUUGUAAUGACGCCUAACACUGCUUGCUAGGCAAGCCAAUACAAUAGGUAACAUGCAGAAGAAAGCAGUAAUUGACCAACAAUUGAAAAAUAAUGUAAUGCAGAACUACUCUGGAAUAACAUAAUAGUUACAAAUACCAAACACUAACGUAAAACCACCCCAAGGAUUGGUAUCACAAGUACAUGAACGUCUAAAUCUAACUAAAUACAAAGUUUUGAAAGAACUAUAAUACUGUCCCGAAAUAAAAUGGAAAUAGUACAAUAAAGGUAGGAAAGUAACUCUAGGGCCUGCGAACGGGGUGCAUCUCUACCUCUUAUCACUGAUUGGUAGCCGCUAAGUACCUCUCAGGACUCUCUUGGUACCAGCGUCAAAAUCUGCACAAGAAAUGCAGAAGUGUAGUAUGAGUACAACCGACCUAAUGGACUUAGUAAGUGUCGAGCCUAAACCCGACGAGGUAGUGACGAGGCUAAGACAAGACGCCUACUAAAACCUGUGUAGUUAUAUAUAUAAAGCAAUGGAAAAUAACAAGUAAACCAUCAAAAGAAAUGAUGGCAACAAUCGGAACAAUAAGUAAAGAAUUAUCAAGUAAGUAUCUUUCCGAAAUAAGCAACGAAACCGCCAAGUUAAAUUCACAACCCAAGUAUCAAGUAAUACAAUAAAGUCAACAAAUUGCACGGCAUAACCCUUCAUACUUUUACUUUCAUCUUCACCAUAUGAUAUAAAUAAAGCAUGUACACAAUAUCAUCCUUCGUACUUUUACUCUAAUCCUCACAUGAUAAUGAUAAUAGCAAGAAAUUGUGCGGAAUCAUCAUUCAUGCUUUCUCUCUUCCUCACAAGAUAAUAUAAAUGCAAUUGCACGGCAUCACCCUUCGUGCUUUAGCCUCACGUUCACUCUAGCAAAGAUAUCAAUAUGCAAAGAAGGCACGACAACACCCUUUGUGCUUUUCACUAUUCCUUACCAAGCAUUUACAAUAAUACAAUACCAAGCAAGGUGGGAAGCAAGUUCAACUUCCAUAAUAAUAUCAAAAUCCGGUCGUCAUAUGAGAAUCUUUCCACAAUUAGUGAAAAUAACCAAUCAACAAUUUCCACGUUCUCAUCAACCAAUGUCACAACAAUAUCAAUAAAUGAAAUAACAUGAAAGCGGGAAAUCAAGGAAUUAACAAUAUAUCUAAGCAUGAAAGACAUAUUUCACGAAAUAACAUGGUAAAAGUAAGGCAAAUUCCACCCGCAUGCUUAUCCCAUGGCCCGCACAUAUACACACAUUACCUUGAAUGUACGCCGCCCCAACAUAUAAUUUACAUAUCAAAUAGACUCGAUUCUAUUUUAUGCCCCUCAAACCAAGGUUAACCAAGAUACUUACCUCUUUCUGCAAUCAAAUCAACAAUCAAUCAUGGCGUUUUUCGAAAAAGCAUCCCAACCAACCGAAUCUAACCAAUUAUCAAUCAUACAAUGCAAUAUAAUCAUUAGAAACUACCCCAUGAAUGAAAGAGGUUCAAUUGUUAUCAUUUUUUAAAAAGUUAACAAAAGCUAAGCCCGAACCCGCUUGGUCAAAAUCUAAAAUUCGGACCAAAUCUUGAUUAUCCAUUCAUCCAGAGCACGAAUAUGUGUGUUUGUUUCAAUUCGACCUCAAUUCGAGGUGUGAAUCUCAAUUUUAUAAAAUUCUUAAAUUCUACCCAAAACCCCUAAAUUCUACCUUGAAAUUCAUAGAUUUGAUGUUAAAAAUUCAAGAAAAGUAGUUGGAAUUGAUUGAAAACUAGUUAAAGAUACAUACAAAUGAAUUUAGGGAGAAAAUGUCCUUCAAAAUCGCUUCUAGGGAGCUUAGGGUUGAAAAAGGGUGUAAAAUGAGCUAAGUCCCGAUUUUUCAAUCUUUUGCCUAGUUGCAGAUGUCAUAAUUGCAAACUCUUAUUCGCAAUUGUGAUGUCCGUAAAUGUGACACACUAAUCACAAAUGCGACACACUGAUCGCGAUAAGUGCAUCAAACCUACAGAAGUUGCAAAUGCGAUAGAGCCCUGGAAUUUGCAAAGUCCCUAAACAUCACAAAUGUGGUGCAUCCUUUGCAUUUGUGAAGAAGUCCUUGGAUCCCAGUCCUCGCAAAUGCGAUAAAAAUGGUCGCAAAGGCGAACAUACCAAGGUCGAAAAUGCGAUGAGUUCUUCGCAAAAGCGAAGACCAAAGCCUCAUCCCUUGUUUGCAUUUGCGAGCCUGACAUCGCAAAUGCGAGGCUUGCAAUUGCGAUCAGGUUCACGCAAAUACGAAACCUGCAACCUUACACCAACAACUGCUGAGCACCAGCAGUUCCAAACCAUCCACAACUCAUCCGAAACUCACCCGAGACCCUCAUGCUCCAACCCGAAUGUGAACACAAGUGUAAUAACAUCAUAUAAACUUGAUCGCUUAGUCAAAUCAUCAAAUAUCAAGAAUCGGUUAUCAAAACUCUAGUUUUAACUUAAAACUCAACCUUUUGCCAACUUUCACAUAAUGCGUCAAAAUGCGUUCGAGUCACCCCAGAUCCUAAUCAAAUAUGCGUAUAAGUCCAAAAACUCAUACGAACCUACCAAAAUUAUCAAAACAAUGAUGAAAUGAAAGGCCUAAAAAGAAGAUCGAAGGCCUCAAGGUUGAGAAGCAAGCUCAUUAAGGACCGAGGUGGCAGAGAGGAGCACCGAAUGGAGAAUAAAGGAUUUAUCGAGAGUGAGGUGAUUUUUAUGGUUGACGGAGUAGGGCUUUUUACCUCGAAAAUGGUAAUUACAAUUAGAUUUGAUUUUGUGGUUCUAAAAAUACGUGAUUUAUUUUUAUGCUAGUUGUUAGGCAGUAGAUGCUAGGUGUGAGUUAGGAAAAUAAAGUAAGAGUAAAGGGCAGCGUUACUAUCCAAACCGAAUGGCUGGAAUCGGGGCCUCGAGCUAGACUGUACUGGGGCCUCGGGGUCGAGCUAAGCGUUAGGCUGUAGAUAGCCGAUGAAGGACUAACAACUCCAAGAGCUUUAAUGAGGGCUCUUUAUGAUGAAUGAUGAAUAGUAAAUGAAGAACGAUCGAUGAAAUACAAUAAAUGUAAGUAGUGUAAUAAAUAUGAGCAAUAAAAUCAAGGGAGAAUAUGUUUAAGUUAAGGAGCAGAGAAUGUUCUUGUUCUUGUAUUGAAUAUCAUGUGUGCAAAAAAUAACAAGGGUCCCCUUUAUAUAGGAGGGGGAAUCCCAACAUAGUGCAUAUGCAUUUAUUAUAAAGAUAUGUAGAUGGUACAACCAUUUAAUGCCACGGUACGGGCUUGUACUAUUCUUAACUUGGUCAGCUCUAACCACUCGCCUUGGGAAUCUCCCACUCAUUCAUCAUAGCCCACGAUUUGUACUGCCCCGAGGCUGAGUUGUGCCUCGAGCCUUCUGGUUCAUCAAACCUCGAGCUGUGCCUCGAGCCUUCUGGCAACGAGCUAUGGAAUGCCAUGAUGACCCCAAAAUCUGACUCUUCGAUUUUCACCGUAUACAGAUAGUCGCCGCGUUUCUUAGAGUAAAAUGAUAAGAAAUAACCUUGAAUUCUUGCUUCUUCAACACUCUCAUUAUGACGUCAAUUUAUUAGAGAAUUAAAUGAUAUGGAAGAGGAGUUGUAUUGAACUUGAAAAGCUCACCUCGAAGCUAAAUAAUUCAGAGGCUUCCUCCGCCCGAAAGAAAUAGGAGUUGGGUGAGCUUCGGGCAAGCCUGAAGGGGGUGCACAAGGAAAGGACUAGUUUUGCUGAGUAGGUAAUACGUCAUUCAUGCGCUCAUCCUGUUAUGCUUAUAACUAGGUGAUUAUGAUCUUGUCCCGCCUUUGCAUAUUGGGCAAAAGGAUGCCCUGGUGGGGCAACUUUAGGGAGAGGUUGCAGCCAAAGAUGCGGAGAUCCUCGAGCUAAGGAGGCAGAAUGAGAUUAUGACCUCGGAGAGAGACCUUUCACGGGGAGAGUUGGCCUCGAACCAGGCUCUUCUUCGAAGUACUCAGAAGGAGGUUACUACACUAUAUGUGGCCAAGGCAGGAACCGAUGAAGAUGCAUCCUCAUAUAAGAGAGACACUGCCACUGCAAAUGCUCGAGCCAAGGAGAUAUCCGAGAAGGCCGAGCAGAAGUUGGCUCGAGCCAUUGCUUAUGCUCAUAUCCGAGCUCGGAGGUAGGCCCUUGAGGAAGAAAACACUGAAGGUUUCAAUCUCUCUGUUGAGAUCGAGAAAGCCCGAAUGUUGGAGGAGAGAUCAACGCCUUCAACUACUUCAGACGAGGACUCUGGAAGUGAUUCAAAUGGUAGCGAGGGUGAGGAAUAGUCUCACACUGUCCUUUCUACUUCUUCUUUUCUUUCUUUUGUGUAUGGGCUCCUCUGGAGAUUUUUGUAAAGACAUAUUCUGUAAAUGAAUUUUUAAGAAUGCAAAGAGAUCCUUUUAUUCUAAGUCUUCAAAUUUAUUUUUGAGCGCUUAUGUAAAGCUAGUCUGUUGAAUCUUGAUGUCGGUUCUUUUAGAGACCAUACUCAGAGUAACCGAGAUCCUCGAGAUUGAGCACCAUCUCGAGGCUAGACUGUUAGCUCUUCUGGGGCCUAUUUAUAGUGGCAGAGAUCCUCGAGGUCAGGCACCAUCUCGAGGCUAGACCGAUGUUCAUAGCCCCUCAGAGCUUAUUUUCAUUUUGACAAAGAUCUUCGAGAUCGGUCACCAUCUCGAGGCUUAUAUUGAUAUUGAUGGCUCCUUAGAGCCUAUAGUUAUAACAACAGAGAUCCUCGAGAUCAGGCACCAUCUCGAGGCUAGAUUGAUAUGGGAAUCUUGACCCCUUUAAUGUCGUAUGACGACGUCAUUCGUAUGGCACGGUUGCGAAGUGACCGGGGUGGUCCCACCGGUACACUUCCCCAAAAGUGGCACUAGCAUGGUCAGAAUUAAUUGGCCUUCAGAAUAGGCAAACAGUCGCCGCUUACUCUAUAUAUGUACUUGCUUUCUCCUUAUAUGAGGAUUCCGCUACUUUUGAGUAACGAUCCCUUUUAUAGAGCCCUUCUUCUUUGAGCCAGUUCUUUUACCAUUCCAACUCAAAGCUUUUGCCCAAGUUUUCAUUUUCCUUUUCUUAUUUUACCAUAGCCAUGGCUGCU